GAAUAUUCCAGAUAUAGAGUGCUACAUGUGCAAAGGCAGAGGUGCAGGUCUAAAACCUUUAGAGAACUUUAAAUAUUUCACAGUGGUUGGAGUACUAUAUGAAUAGGACAGUGGCUGAACCAGAUCAUGGAAGAAUGCCCUUUGAAGGAAUCUAGAGGUUAUACUCUAUGUAACUGGGAGCCAUUAAAGAGUUUGAAGCAAAGAGACUCAUGUGCUCACAUCUAAAAUCAGAAUAAUCUUUCUGAUGGUGGUAUGGAGGAUAUAUUAGAAGGGAAAGGAUACUGGAAGUAGGGAAACUAAUUAAGAGAGCACAUAUUAGCUUGUAAGGACAUGAUGAGGGCAUGUGCUAUGGGCUGAAUUGUGUCCCCUAAAAUUCAUGUUGAAGUCCUCAGUGUCAGUACCUCGGAACGUGACUCUGUUCGGAGAUAGGAUCUUUAAAGGGUUAAUUAGUUUAAAGUGAGGUCAUUAGGGUGGCUCUAAUCCAUUAUGACUGGUAUCCCGGGAAGAGGAAAAUAGGACACAGACACACAAAGAGAAGACGAGGAGAAGACACACAGAGAAGACAGCUAUUUGCAAGCCAAACACACAGGCCUCAGAAAAAAACCAACCCCGCUGGUAUCUUGAUCUCAGACUUCCAGCCUCCAGAAUGUGACCUGCCAUCGUUGUAGCCUCUGCCACCCGCACAACGCCAGGCAAUUAGAGGGAGCGUGACCCACCCGGAAUGGAAGUUCUACCACGGCUGUGUAGAGAUCGGGGCCCUGGGUCUUCACCCCCUGAUACCCAGGUUCUGCUCGCAAGGAAAGAAAGAGCCCGCACUGUGGAAUGCUGAUCACUUCCUUCAUGGGUGGGGAAGAAAAAGCUUGGAGAGUCUGCUCUUUCAAAAGUCAGAAGACACAUUUUAGCUUGCAGUUGGGACAGACUAGAAGACAGCUCUGAAGAAUACUUUGAGACAGUAUCUUCCACCAGAUGAACCCUGUGGUAACUGUGGUCUUUGAGUCUGUAUUGCUUUCAGUGUUUACAGGUCAAAUCUAAAUUUAUAUAUUGGAAAUGUGUUCUAUUUUCCCUACCGAAUAUGGGAUGAAUUGAUUUAUUUGCUUAUUUUUAAAUGCGUCUACUGGCCUUUAGAAGCUAUUAUUUACAUAAAGGUACUUUUGAACUUUACAAACAUGUUGGAGGCUACCUACUGUCCAAAUAUUUUAAAUAAGGUAUUAGAUAGGUACAAAGCAACAUCCGUAUCUGAAAUAAUAAAAUGAAAGACAGAAAUCAUUGCCAAAUGCUUUCCUAAAUAAUAUUUUUGAAAUAGUCAUUUUCACAGAUCAGCUUUUGUCGUACUAAAUUAAGAUAUACUUUCUUAAAAUGUUAAACCAUAUGAAUAUCUAAAUGUAUUUUCAAUGUUUUAUAGAAAGAAUAUGGAGUAUAUUUUUGGUGGCAAUCAAUACAUCUAUAUUGGGCAGUUAUUUUAAUGGCUAUUACCAUUCAGUGUCUAACUUUAUUUUUUUAGCUGAUGCAAGAGACAAUUAACAAAUAUGAGUAUUUAUCUUAACCUUUUUUGAGGUCUGAAUUCACUUUUCAUCUUGGCUUUUCUCAUUUUCAUCUUGUACCUGAUUACUUCACAAGGCGUAUGCCUCUUUUCUUUCCUUAAUUGCUUUUUGUACUUCCUUCUCCAUUCUGUUUUUCAAUUGCUUGUUGCUAAGCGAUGUGCACAACAGUAGGAUAUACAUUCAUUACCUUUGAACAUGGCCCACUUGGUAUUAUUUUCCUCUACUCCUUUACCUCAUUUGAAUUGACCUCAACUGCACUUUCUGCUUUCUUUUGACCUUUCUUUUUGCCAAAACACCCAUCUUCCUGUCCUUUGAUCAUGACUCAGGGGCUAGUGUAUUCAAUACUUACCCCCAUUUUGUCUAUGCUCUAUUGUUUUUGUUAAGCUCUGGUGGCCAGACUCAUUUCACAGGACUAUUUCUCUUUGUUAGUCUCUCCUUUUUGUCUUACUACUUUCAUUUGUAUUUAAAGACAUUAGAAAGACACCUCUUCUUUGAUGAAAUUUAGGUCAUUUCUUAUUAUUUUCCUUUGAUCACUUCUGUUGUUGUGGAUGUCGGUUCGUCUCAGUACGCCGGCACCUGCUACUCUCUUAUAAUAUCAAUUCUGGUAUAAUCUGAUAAAACCACAUCACUCACUCAACAUAAAUUUGUUCAAUUUUUCAAUGACCUAUAAUGUAUUUAAUUUAUUUAGCCACGGUAAACUGCCAAAAAAAAAAAGCUCCCCCACCCAA